GAUGAACGCUGACAGAAUGCUUAGCACAUGCAAGUCAACUUGAACUUCGGUUUGGGUGGCGGACGGGUGAGUAACGCGUAAAGAACUUGCCUCACAGCUAGGGACAACAUUUGGAAACGAAUGCUAAUACCUGAUAUUAUGAUUAUAUGGCAUCGUAUAAUUAUGAAAGCUAUAUGCGCUGUGAGAGAGCUUUGCGUCCCAUUAGCUAGUUGGAGAGGUAACAGCUCACCAAGGCGAUGAUGGGUAGCCGGCCUGAGAGGGUGAUCGGCCACAAGGGGACUGAGACACGGCCCUUACUCCUACGGGAGGCAGCAGUGGGGAAUAUUGGACAAUGGACCGAGAGUCUGAUCCAGCAAUUCUGUGUGCACGAUGAAGUUUUUCGGAAUGUAAAGUGCUUUCAGUUGGGAAGAAAAAAAUGACGGUACCAACAGAAGAAGUGACGGCUAAAUACGUG
rnacentral:rRNA from 1 species